UCAAAGGAAUUGACGGGGGCCCGCACAAGCAGCGGAGCGUGUGGUUUAAUUCGAUGCAACACGAAGAACCUUACCAGGGCUUGACAUGUUAGAAGUAGGAACCCGAAAGGGGGACGACCAGUAUCCAAUCUGGAGCUAACACAGGUGCUGCAUGGCUGUCGUCAGCUCGUGCCGUGAGGUGUAUGGUUAAGUCCCACAACGAGCGCAACCCUCGUCGCUAGUUAAUUCCCCUAGCGAGACCGCUCGCAAAACGAGGAGGAAGGCGGGGAUGGCGUCAAGUCAGCAUGGCCUUUAUACCCUGGGCGACACACACGCUACAAUGGGUGGUACAGUAGGUAGCGAAGGAGCGAUCCGGAGCAAAUCCUUAAAACCAUCCUCAGUACGGAUUGCAGGCUGAAACCCGCCUGCAUGAAGCCGGAGUUGCUAGUAACCGCAUACCAGCAUGGUGCCGGUGAACUACGUUCUCGGGCCUU
rnacentral:rRNA from 1 species